rnacentral:rRNA from 1 species
UACGUAGGGAGCGAGCGUUAUCCGGAUUUAUUGGGCGUAAAGCGUGCGCAGCUGGCUUAUUAAGUAUGAAAUUAAAGCCCGGAGCUUAACUCCGGUUCGUUUCAUAAACUGGUAGGCUUGAGUGUGGUAGAGGUAAGUGGAAUUUCUAGUGUAGCGGUAAAAUGCGUAGAUAUUAGAAGGAACAUCAGUGGCGAAGGCGACUUACUGGGCCAUCACUGACAGUCAUGCACGAAAGCGUGGGGAGCAAAUAGGAUUAGAUACCCUAGUAGUCCACGCCGUAAACUAUGAGCACUAAGUGUCGGGAUUCCCGGUGCUGAAGUUAACACAUUAAGUGCUCCGCCUGAGUAGUACGGUCGCAAGACUGAA